UCUAGAGAUGAGUUUCGCCAUAUUGCCCAGGCUGGUCUCAAACUCCUGAGCUCAAACAAUCUGCUGACCUCGGCCUUCCACAUACUGGGAUUACAGGCGUUAGCCACCACACACGGGCAACUUACCUUAAGAUCAAGCCUCAUUUAAGAUUUUCAAAAAAUUGGAAGAUAGAAUAUUAGAUUUUGUCAUAUUUUUCUAAUAAUAAAUCAGAGAAGCCAGUGAUUGAUUAAAUAAAUAAAUAACAAUGGACUCCAGGUUCUUCAGUUUUGGAACUCGGACUGGCUCUUCUUCCUCCUCAGCCUGCAGACUGCCUACUGUGGGACCUCACAAUCAUGUAUUCCAUCUUGAAGAAAAGAAGCAAGAAAGGAAGAAAAUAUAAACAAAUGACUAUUUCCUCCCCCUCAAAGAAGUUGAAUUUAAAAAGAAUGCAGCAGUUGCACACCAAGCUUCUAAGGAUGCAAGAGUAUCAGCCAAUGAUACCCAGACACCUCCACGAUUCUCCUUUAGACUUCGCUGGACGUCAGUUCCUUAUGGACAUCCUCUUCUCCCUGAGUCCCAUCCUCCAGCUAUGCCCAACAAUUUAAGUACCAUAACCCAAGACAAUGACUCAGAGCAUCCCCUGACAAGCCAACAACCUUAGGAAUGGUCAGUUCUAUGCCCAGGGUAGCAGAAAGUAGUUGGAAGAUGAGACCUCUACCCAAAUAGCACAGAUUUGUCACUGUUGUUCUGUCAGGAGGGAAAUGUGUAGCCCUAAGGAGUUAAAAGAAAAUUGAAAAAUGGGUUUUGCUGGCAGGAACAGAAACAGGGUAGAGGGGAGCAAAUGUUCUAAGAAACAGGGUCAACCUCAAAUGGCUCACUAGCAUCUAAGCAUCCUUUUACAAGCACCUAGCUCACAGCCCACCUGCAUGCUGUCUGCAAGUACUCAGCUUAAGCAGCACGACCUUAAAAAAUUUUCCUCCAGCCCCUGCCUCUUUGCAGGCAGCUUUCCCUCUGCUGUCUUGCCUACUGCUCUCUUGCAACAUAUUUUCCCCUUUUCUCGAAACAAAUCUGCCUUUCUAAACUCAUUACUGUCUUAGUAAAUUCUUUUAUCACCUAUGUGCCGGCCUCAGACACUCAGUGACCACCACAGCAUAUGCAUGUAUUAUGUAUAUGUAUGUAUCUUGUGUAUAUUUGUAUCUUAUGUAUUUAUGACAUUAUAUAAUCUUGCAUAUAUACCUAAUAAAUAUACAGUAAGUACUCACUUAGUGUCAUCAAUGGGUCUUGGAAACUGUGACUUUAAGUGAAGUGUUGUAUAAUGAAACGAAUUUACUACAGGCUGAUUGAUAUAAAGAAGAGUCAAGUUACUCCGGCAUAUUUCUAGUCAAAAAACAUCAUGAAACUUCUAAAUAAAGGUGAAAGCCUUCUAAUAUUUAACACUGAAAUAAAUGGGAGCUAUACAUAUAUUUAAGAAAGAUAAAUAAAAGCAAGUAGGAUGAUUAUUUACCCAAUUAUUUCAGUUCAGAAUUGUGGGUGGCCAGAGCCUAACCAGGCAAUUCGAGACACAAGAGAAACCAAUCCUGGACAGGACACUAUCCCAUUGCAGAGUAUACUCUCACACACUUCCACAUUCUUACAUGUGGGGACAAUUUAGACACUCGUCCAAUUAACUGAAUGUGCAUAUCUUUGGGAUGUGGAAGGAAAUAUAAGUACUUGGGUAAUGCCCAUGCAAAGAUAAGGAGAAGGUUCAAACUUCACGAAGACAGUGGCCACAGCUGAAGACGAUAUUUUUUAUCAUAAACAUUCUAUCUUAAUAACGUUGAACAAUAUGAGGUUGAGGACCUGCUGUAUAUAUUUUAUAAAUAUAAGUAUAUAAACACACACAUGUGCACUUAUAUAUGCACACACAAAAACACGUACACACAUACACACUUACAGCUUAUAAACCAAAGUCAACAUCUAAAAUCCUGAAUCCUUUCCCAAUCAAUGCCACUGAUUACCAGCAGAGCCUAAUAUUUUUUUCCUGAUGUUAGCUUAGCUAAUAAUAUCUCAAUUAAUAAGAAAGGAAAGGAAAGAAAGCCAUUUUGUAACCAAGAGAUUUUUCAAAGUUUUGAUAAUUUUUCUUUGACUUUCUAAAAGUAAACAGAAUAAAAUCUGUCUUAACAGUCUCAUUACUAAAAUGUCUUAAUAGCCUCAUAAGCCAUGUGAUGUUCCACAUAAGCUGUCUCCAGUUUAUUCCCUUUCAUCCUGCCCUGCAUUCACUAACCUCAGAAAUGCUUGACAUAAACGAAAUUCAACCCCUACUAAGAGUUUUUGCAGCCCCAUUUCCUUCAUUUUCCACCCUAUCCCUCCAAUUUUAAGGCUGUCCCCAAAUUUUAAUAUUACCUUCUCAUGGAGAUCUUUUGCAAUCACCUUGGUAAAAGCAAUACACCCAGGGAUUUCCUAUAACACUAUACUAUUUGACUUACACAACAUUAAUUAAGAUGUAAAGUAAUCUUAAUUCACGUAUCUAUCAUCUGUAUUGACAAUAAAGGAUAACUGAGUAAUUUUUUUAAGAAUGGUCUCUUUAU
rnacentral:lncRNA from 1 species